rnacentral:rRNA from 1 species
UACGUAGGUGGCAAGCGUUGUCCGGAUUUACUGGGCGUAAAGAGCGCGCAGGCGGUCGAGUAAGUCGAAUGUGAAAGCCCCCGGCUUAACUGGGGAGGGUCAUUCGAUACUGUUCGACUUGAAGGCAGGAGAGGGCAGCAGAAUUCCCGGUGUAGUGGUGAAAUGCGUAGAUAUCGGGAGGAAUACCAGUGGCGAAGGCGGCUGCCUGGCCUGUCCUUGACGCUGAGGCGCGAAAGCUGGGGGAGCAAACGGG